rnacentral:lncRNA from 1 species
GAGUGAGUUGAGUCUUCUCUUUCAGAGAAUCAUCUGAUGAAAUUCCAGGCUCCUGAAAGGUUGGAGGAAGAGUCAGGGAAGCAGGGAUAUAGCAAGCCCAUAAUGACAACUAACACCUCCAAAACUGAAUAGGGCUAGAUGAAAUGUAAUGGAACCUUCAGAUAUAUGAAGAUUUAAUUUCGCACAAGUGUUGCCAACAGUCAUGUUCUGAGAGCUGCUACUGUAGAAGGAAAAAACAAGCAUGCUAGGACCCCGGAUUAUGCUGGGCGUGAGUGUCAACAGCAGCCCAGAUUGGAGGCCCAGAACCUACUGAAGAUUCCAGAAGCCUGCCAGGCUCCUUUGCCAGAGAAGAAGAAUAAAAAACAACCCACUGAAAACUUCAGUUGUUCAGGUAAGAUCAACAAACUAGAUGAGUGAAAGGGAGCCAGAAGCAGAAACGGGACAAGGAAAUAGACUAUUAGUGUGACAAGCGCUCCGAUAUGGACUGCCACAAGGAUAUAGCUUCUCCGUGAGUAAAAUGGAAGUGAUACCACCUAUCUCACAGAGCAGCUCUGAAGGCCAAAAAGAUGACACAUACAAAGCACUUAGCACCAUGCCUAGAAUAAUUAAUACUUCUCAGAUCCUCUUUAUCUCAGCUCAACACACUCCCAACUGGUCCAACAAGUUCCCAAAAGUGUCUGAGAGAGCUGUAA